GCCACGUCCCAAAUUUCCACGUUACCAAAACGGGCAGUCCGGUGUGAAAAGGGGAAUUAUAUAUGUAUACAGAGUCAGAAGAAAGGCUGGCUGGGAGGCAGUAGUGGGCACCUCGUUUGAGGGCCUCUCUUUCACUCACUCACACUCUCUCGCUUUGUGUGCGUGGGGAGAGAGUACAAAGCAUUGACCUAACUCCAGGGUUAGGGUUAAACAGUGCGCGAUGAUGCCACAAAAAAUCUGGCAAAUCCUCCAGCGUCCAGCUGAAGCGAGCGAACGAGCGAGCGAGAGAAGUAGAGCUAGGGUUAGAACCAUCUUUGACCUUGCAGCGCCAUUGAAUUUGGCUUUUGGACUGGAGGCGAGCGCCCCGAGAGGUCAGUCAUGAGUCAUGAGAGUCACUGCAAGGAUGCGACAAAGGCGACAGAGAGCGAGGUAGAGACGGGGGCAAUUGAGGGAUCGCGCGCGCUCGAUCGAGAGAUUGUAUGAUCUUAUAAUGGGGCGGCAGCAGCAGCAGGCAGCAGGCAGCAGGGCAGGCAGGUGUGGAUUCAAAUGGGGGUUGGUUGAUUGGUUGGGUGCUGCUUCUGCUGCUGCCUCGCUCCUCCUUUCCUUCCUGCCUGCCUGCAUAGGUGGAAGUGGUGCUGCAGUCGGUGGUGCUGUGGUAAUAUCAUGCAGCAAUCUCCCUCGUCAGGGAGUGCGACGCUGUGGGAAGCCAGGCUGAUCCUGACAAAUAAAGCAAGCAAGCAACUCCCCCGCCCCCACUCGCUCACCCAUACAUCCAUCGUUCGUCCAUCUGCGUGAUAUCAUUCAUUCGUUCUUGUGCUCAUCCAUCCAUCCUCCCUCGGCGUGAUAUCAUUCAUUCGUCCCUUUGUUUAUCGUACCCUACUUCUUACGAGGACAUGGGUGGUGAGAAUGAGGUGUGAAAGUAACAACACAUUGGGAUUUGUGAGGGAUCAUCAGUGGAAAAAUGUUUUAUGGGGAUCAUGGUUAUCUUCUGGUUGAUUAAAGGGCAAUACAAUUUGGUGAAUUCGAGUCUUCUCAAUGUUAUUCUUAUUUAUUUAUUUAUUUAUUUAUUUAUAUUUGUAUAAUAAGAAUCAUAAAUGGAAAGCCAUUACAUGUAGAAAUUGAAUAUAUAUAUAUAUAUAUAUAUAUAUAUAUAUACAUAGAUAUAUAUACAUAUAUUUAUAUACCAGGAUGCUUAUAA
rnacentral:lncRNA from 1 species